GGGGGCGUACCGGUUUCGACGGGGGUGUGGAGGCAGGAUAAGCGGGCGGCGGCGCCUGACCGCCAUAAAACGGGCAACUUAUAAAUUAAAGAACGACGAAAAUAUUGUUCUUGCUGCCGCCUGAUUGCGGCAGCCGUCUGAACUGAGAGGGCCGCGGCUCGGGGAAGGCGUCAUUUAGCGGCGUCCGUGAGGCAGGAAAGAGUUGACCCGCCCACGCAUCAUGACUCUACCGAAACGCAAGGUCUGUCAAGUGCCCUUGCGCGGGGGGAAUCCUUAAAACUUGACUGCGCCCGGAGAAAGUCCUGUUAAAGCGCUUUCGGACGCGGGUUCAACUCCCGCCGCCUCCACCA
rnacentral:tmRNA from 1 species